rnacentral:rRNA from 1 species
UACGGGGGGAGCAAGCGUUGUUCGGAUUUACUGGGCGUAAAGGGCGCGUAGGCGGUCGUGACAAGUCACUUGUGAAAUCUCCGGGCUUAACUCGGAACGGUCAAGUGAUACUGUCGGACUAGAGUACAGAAGGGCAACUGGAAUUCUCGGUGUAGCGGUGAAAUGCGUAGAUAUCGAGAGGAACACCUGCGGCGAAGGCGGGUUGCUGGGCUGAUACUGACGCUGAGGCGCGAAAGCUAGGGGAGCGAACGGG